GUGCUUGUUUCAGCAGCACAUAUACUAAAAUUGGAAUGAUACAGAGAAGACUAGCCUGGCCCCUGCGCAUGGAUGACAUGCAAAUUUGUGAAGUGUUCCAUAUUUCA
rnacentral:snRNA from 1 species